rnacentral:rRNA from 1 species
UUCCGGUUGAUCCUGCCGGACCCGACUGCUAUUUGGGUGAGAAUAAGCCAUGCGAGUUGAAUGGAAUACCUAAAUUUUCCAUGGCAAACUGCUCAGUAACACAUGAUCAACUUACCCUAUAGAGAAAAAUAACCUCGGGAAACUGAGGAUAAUGUUUCAUAGUUGAAAAGGCUUGGAAAAGUUUUUCAAUCAAAAGGAUAAAAAAAAUGGUUUUUAUCCGCUAUAGGAUAGGAUCGUGCUCGAUUAUGGUUGUUGGUGAGGUAAUGGCUCACCAAGCCGAUAAUCGAUAGGGGCCGUGAGAGCGGGAGCCCCGAGAUGGGUACUGAGACAACGACCCAGGCCUUACGAGGCGCAGCAGGCGCGAAACCUCCGCAAUACACGAAAGUGUGACGGGGUUACCCAAAGUGUUCAGUUUUGAACUGUGGUAGGUGAGUAAUGUCCCCUACUAGAAAGGAGAGGGCAAGGCUGGUGCCAGCCGCCGCGGUAAAACCAGCUCUUCAAGUGGUCGGGAUAAUUAUUGGGCUUAAAGUGUCCGUAGCCGGUUUAGUAAGUUCCUGGUAAAAUCGGGUAGCUUAACUAUCUGUAUGCUAGGAAUACUGCUAAACUAGAGGGCGGGAGAGGUCUGAGGUACUACAGGGGUAGGGGUGAAAUCUUAUAAUCCUUGUAGGACCACCAGUGGCGAAGGCGUCAGACUGGAACGUGCCUGACGGUGAGGGACGAAAGCCAGGGGAGCGAACCGGAUUAGAUACCCGGGUAGUCCUGGCCGUAAACGAUGCAUACUAGGUGAUGGCAUGGCCAUGAGCCGUGUCAGUGCCGUAGGGAAACCGUUAAGUAUGCCGCCUGGGAAGUACGGUCGCAAGGCUAAAACUUAAAGGAAUUGGCGGGGGAGCACCACAAGGGGUGAAGCCUGCGGUUCAAUUGGAUUCAACGCCGGG